rnacentral:lncRNA from 1 species
CCAACAACAUUAGCCAAAAUAAAAUAAAAGAAGAGUACUACAGGACCGAUUUCUCAUUUCCUCCCAAACCUUGAAGAGUACUCUUGCCAGCACGCCAUCGCCAAUCGGAGCACCCAUCACCGGUUGGAGAGCCGGUAGUCACCUGACGAAGAAGAGGGGAAAAGUGGAAAAAAAGGAACUUAAUUUUCUCCUAUUAAUGAUUUUGUAAAGAAAUUAAUAAGGUAUUUUGAGAAUUUUGAGACACCCAAGAGAUCUUAAUUUCUUUUCCUUUCAAGUUCUCCAAAGACAGGUAAGAUCUUGUGAUUCUUUAUUAGCCACCUCCAUAUGAUCAUAUUUAUUCAUUAGGCUUCGCAGAAAUUUUUCAAUAACCUUUUAGGUUUUCAAAAUUUCUAUACUUGAUGCCAUAGAAUUUGAAAUGGAACUCUAGUAUACUGGAAUCUCAGUUGCUUGAUAUAUUUGGCAGGGUGAAUCGCGUCUUUUUGUGUCUUAUUCUUUAGGAGAUUUGUAUGUGCUUUAGAUAAUUGAUUUUCAUUUUCUGGUUGUUUGUAUUCCUUCAACAAUAUUUCAUAAAUAAUGAGAUUCAAGACACAAUUCAUUAGAUUAAUUUAAUAAUAAAGAUUUCACCAUUAAAACGAGUCACGAGAGAAAUGAGAUUAUUGUUUGACAUUAUUUAUCUUUUCUUGGCUCUGAUAGUAGUUAGUAGAAAAGAAGGCUUGGUAGAUAUCUUAUUAUUAUUAUUAUUAUUAUUAUUAUUAUUAUUAUUAUUAUAAAUUGCCUUUGCAAAAUAAUAAAGAUUUUGGUAAAUCAAUGUGCAUGUUCUAUCUUUAAGAAGUCUCCUCCAAUUACUAAGUCAAGUAUUGGAAUUCUAUAAAACAUUUGACUAAACAAGUACAUGAUUAUUCUAGGAAAUUUAAUAGUCAAAAUUUGGUUUAUUAUUCCAACAUAUAUAUUAUGCUUGUUUUGUUUUGGAGUCACUCCAAAGCCUAGCAACAAUUCAUAUUUGUAAUGUAGCUAUUUUAAUUAAUCUAGACUUGCCAAGGAGUCCCAGUCCCUUUUGAGUGUGGUGGAAAAAAAAUUCACAAAACAAGAGCCAAGAGCUUGGGUUUUGGUGAAAAGAAACAAAGGGCAUCUGUUAUGGUUGAUGUGUGUCGGAAGUGUUGUGCUGUGAUUUUGUAUAAUUCCUUUUGAAAAAGUACUCUUCAUUAGCUUAUCUAGUUGGGUAUUUGUAGUUUCUGGAUUUCUUGAAUUGAUGAGAUGACUGACUUCACACAGGUUAUAUGUUUUUUAUUCCCAUCGUAGAAUGCUCGGAAGGAACUCCGGAAUCUAUCAUAGUUGUAGAGUUAAGGAUCAUUUGUUUGCCGAAUGCAAAAAGAAACGCCCUUGCCCACGAUGUAAGUAUGGAUUUGAAAAAUGUUUUGUGGUAAAGAAGGAAAAUCACAAUAAGGGGAAACUAGUCCUUUGCUACAGCCGGAAUUGUGGAUUUUGGGUAUGGGUUGUGAAAGAAGACUCAAGCGGUCAAUGUAGUCGUGAUAGCGCGACAUUCCCUAACCCCGUGAUGAAUGACACUAAUGAAGAAAUGUCCCGCAUGUUCAAAUAUUGGGUAAGGAUAAGUGACGAAGAAGAGUUUCAGAUUUUGGUUAACGUGAGCAUCAAGAAGGAGAAAAUUGUUGCAAAUGUGGACGCUAAAGGGAAGCGGCCGACUUGACUUGAAGAUACUUAUCGAAGUGGCUAGCCUAAUUUUCUCAAUUAAAACUGAAUCAGCUUGUCCUUAUUAUUUGUGAAGGUUGAAAGUCUUGUAUGUGAUGAAUUAAGUAAAGUAGUUGAGCUUUGUGGUGCGAGGUUGUAUAUCAUGACAUCUUGGUAUCAAAACAAACAUCUUUUGUAGGCAAACAUUUGUACUCUCGCGACUUACUUACAGUUUUUGUAUGGUAAUUAAUUUAUUUAAUACCUUUCCAUUCAAAUUGUUUAUGUAUUCCAAGUUCACAAGCUUAAAUGAAGGCAGACAUUGGUUGCCUAUAAUAUACGAAGCCCAGGUUCCUUAUAAUUUGG